UUGGGUCAUAUCUCACUGUUCCCCAAUUCUCUUUCCUUUUGGUCUUAUCCACCGCUUCCAGGUUGGUUGCUGCCUUCCUGUCGAAGACUGCGCUGCAGCGUGGGCACAACAUCACUUCGGUUUUCAUCCUUUGGCACCUCUUGAUGAAUUCCAUUAAGUUUUCCUCCUCUCUAGGGUACGCCAGCCUUUGGUACUCUUUCUGACGACGCUCUUCGCCCUCUUCGACCUGGUCCUUCUGAGAUAUUU
rnacentral:lncRNA from 1 species